rnacentral:hammerhead_ribozyme from 1 species
ACACUGCUGACGAGUCGCAAACAAGACGAAACAGCUGUCUAGUGU